rnacentral:misc_RNA from 1 species
AAAGUCGUAACAAGGUUUCCGUAGGUGAACCUGCGGAAGGAUCAUUAUUGAAUAAACUGGCUUAGGUUGCUGCUGGCUCUUAGGGGCAUGUGCACAUCUAUUCCCUUUUUUAAAACCUCCUGUGCACUUUGUGUAGACCUGAACAAUUUUCAAGAGUUUGAAACCUCUUGGUCUGAGGAUUGCUGUGCAUUGAAAGCCAGCUUUUCUUGUGCUUCAGUGUCUAUGUUUUACACACACACUAUUAAAAUGUAUGAGAAUGUUAUUAUUGGGCCUUUGUGCCUUUAAAAAAAACUAAAUACAACUUUCAACAACGGAUCUCUUGGCUCUC